rnacentral:rRNA from 1 species
UACAGAGGUCCCGAGCGUUGUUCGGAUUCACUGGGCGUAAAGGGUGCGUAGGUGGCUUGGUAAGUUUGAUGUGAAAGCUCAGGGCUCAACCCUGAAAUGGCAUUGAAUACUACUGAGCUGGAGGUUUGGAGAGGGAAGUGGAAUUCCCGGUGUAGUGGUGAAAUGCGUAGAUAUCGGGAGGAACACCAGUGGAAGGCGACUUUCUGGCCUGUUCUUGACGCUGAGGCGCGAAAGCUAGGGGAGCAAACGGG